AAAACGACUCUCGGCAACGGAUAUCUCGGCUCUCGCAUCGAUGAAGAACGUAGCGAAAUGCGAUACUUGGUGUGAAUUGCAGAAUCCCGUGAACCAUCAAGUCUUUGAACGCAGGUUGCGCCCGGAGCCAUUAGGCCGAGGGCACGUCUGCCUGGGCGUCACG
rnacentral:rRNA from 1 species